UGGCAGGGGAGACAGCUGUUAAGCACGUGGGACUUUCUGCUUCCAUUCCCGAUUUUUUUUUUCAGUUCCCUCUCUCGGAUGCCAGGGGCGAGUGACAGAGGAGCCGGUUAUGUGUCGUGCCGCAUCCAUUGUCUACCCGCGUGCUUCUCACGUGCGGUCAUUGCCGUUUGCAAGCUGAACUCACCAGCGCCAGACAUUCCACCGCUUGUCUCUCUCUGCAGGUGUGGACUGCCGGGCUACAGCGCACGGGAAGGUGAAGUGUUCAGCGCAGCGGCCAGCGGCCUUCAUCCACGACAGCAGCUGCCCUUCGUGCUCUCUCGCGUUGCCGCCUCCAAGGCAAUUGCGUCGUUGUCGCCCGACGAUCGCGCCGCCUGUCUGAAAGAAAAAGACGGCCUCACCGUCGUGUUCACGGAUCGUCGCGAGGCGGCGCCAACGCUGCACGGGUGCUGCCUCAGCAUUGCACACGAAGACUCGGUCGCGGCAUCGGUGGCAUGGCCAGUGCUAUCGUCCGACUCUUCUUCCUUCAAGGACUAUAAUGCGGCUUCAGAGAGGCUCUACAUGGGAGCACAGCUGGCGUGCUCGCACUCCACUUUGCCUGAUGCGACGGCUACCUCUUUUACAUACGCAAUCGACGUGGCAAACGUGGCGGAGGUUCACCGCGUGCGCAGCCGCUUUCCCCACCUCGGCCAGCGAUGGAUGCCUCAGUGCACCACGACCGCGUCCGCCGACGAUGUAGGGCGUGCUUUAACGUGCGUUCAGAAGCAGCACCAGGAAUGUGUGGCGGCGGUGGGGGCGCCGCGGGACAGCCACGGCGGCGAAGGCGCCAGCGCACGCCAGGCGGCAUGCCGCCGAGAUGAGUGGUGGAAGCACUUGGCCACGCCGUAUGUCACCGAGGCGGACGCAUAUGCCGCAGUGGUGCUGGCGCAGCACUGGGGUGCGCGUGAGUGCGCCGUGAAGCUGUUAGGCAUCCCUGGUCGCUCUUUCGCAUACGAGUGCGUGCGUGCGCUGCCGCCAGGAGGUGGUGGUGCGGUGAUUAUGGAGUCCACCCCGUUUACAGCGUCUUUCCUGGUGCCACACACCCUCUAUUCUGCGGAGGUACACGGCGCUGAGGCGGCGACCUUGGCGCGGCAAGGACUGCAUCCUCUUCUAUACCUCUAUACAUGGACGGAAUGGGUGCCGCUCAAUAACACGGUGGAUCUCCCCUACGUGGUGGUGCUGGCCUGCGCACCUUGUCGCUCAGGCGCACGGUGAUGCACCCUCUCUCUCUGUUUGUAAGUGUGCCGCGCGCGCUUCUUGUUUGAGAGGUACAUCCCUUCUGCCAUGGUGGCGGUGCGGGCGGACGCGUGCAUUGCUAGCUGCAAGCAACGGUGGCGCACUGAGGGGCACUCCUCAGCCUUUUGCUGGCUAUGCCUGCAUGUC
rnacentral:misc_RNA from 1 species